AGAGGCUAGGUCUCAAGUGUUUAAACACGAGCACUAGGCUCUAAAUGCCUUUUUCACGUGUUCCUAGAGGCUAGGUCUCAAGUGUUUAAACACGGGCACUAGGCUCUCAAUGCCUUUUUCACGUGUUCCUAGAGGCUAGGUCUCGAGUGUUUAAACACGAGCACUAGGCUCUCAAUGCCUUUUUCACGUGUUCCUAGAGGCUAGGUCUCGAGUGUUUAAACACGGGCACUAGGCUCUCAAUGCCUUUUUCACGUGUUCCUAGAGGCUAUGUCUCAAGUGUUUAAACACGAGCACUAGGCUCUAAAUGCCUUUUUCACGUGUUCCUAGAGGCUAGGUCUCAAGUGUUUAAACACGAGCACUAGGCUCUAAAUGCCUUUUUCACGUGUUCCUAGAGGCUAGGUCUCGAGUGUUUAAACACGGGCACUAGGCUCUCAAUGCCUUUUUCACGUGUUCCUAGAGGCUAGGUCUCGAGUGUUUAAACACGAGCACUAGGCUCUCAAUGCCUUUUUCACGUGUUCCUAGAGGCUAGGUCUCGAGUGUUUAAACACGGGCACUAGGCUCUCAAUGCCUUUUUCACGUGUUCCUAGAGGCUAUGUCUCAAGUGUUUAAACACGAGCACUAGGCUCUAAAUGCCUUUUUCACGUGUUCCUAGAGGCUAGGUCUCAAGUGUUUAAACACGAGCACUAGGCUCUAAAUGCCUUUUUCACGUGUUCCUAGAGGCUAGGUCUCAAGUGUUUAAACACGAGCACUAGGCUCUAAAUGUCUU